GCCGGGAUACUCAAGUGGUCAACGAGGUCGGUCUGUAAAACCGAUGCCUUACGGCUCCCCAGGUUCGAAUCCUGGUCCCGGCACAA
rnacentral:tRNA from 7 species